UCUGGGCGGGUCUGCUGGGCGCUCUCCUUGACUGACUCACUCCCUCAUGAAUUUCUGGGUUGAAGAUAUUGGAAUUUGUCUCGAGCUUUUGGUCAACUGGUCUUGCUCUUGGACUCUUGGUUCGAUUCAAAAAUCUUCAAGCUUCGCCAAGCUGUGGUGUGACUGUCCCUUCUGGACUGAAGAUGGUAUGUGCCUCCUGCGUGACUGCAACGUCUACGAAAGCCCGAAAAAUGAAUUUUCAGAACCUUUCAAGAGGCCUUU